rnacentral:pre_miRNA from 1 species
UAGUUUUGUCCUAAGUCAAACUAUUUUAAGUUUGACCAAAUUUAUAGCUAAUAGUAUUAACAUCUAUAACACCAAAUAUGUGAAUUAUGAAAAUAUGUUUCAUGAUGAAUCUAAUGAUACGUAUUUGGUGUCAUAAAUGUUGGCACUUUUCUCUAUAAAUUUGGUCAAACUUCACAUAGUUUGACUUAGGACGAAACUAG